CUUCUUCAUCUUCCAGCCACCACCUCGCGCCCGUAUCGAUCACCGUGAGUCAUCAGAAUCAACAACAACGUCAUUUUUGUUCCCUCAUUGAAUCAAAACGCAAAGCCCUAAAUCACCACCACAGUCUACGAAUAGAUCAACCACAAAUCACAAAUCAGCACCUGCAAAAAACCAAAAUUUGCAAUCCGCUACCACGAGCAACAUUGCGCCACCCAAACUGUGAAAACACAGUUCCGUCUUGAAGAAAAGAGCUCUAGUUUGAAAGGGGAAAGUCCGGCUGCGGCUGCAUCAAGCUCUGUUGAAAAGCUUAAGGCUUCAAAUUUCCCAGCUUCACUUUUAAGAAUUGCUUCGUGGAAGACAGUGAAGAAGAGGAGGAGGAGGAUCUUCCAGUGAAAGGUCAAGAUAAUGGUAAAUUUGUUAUGGAAAUAAUGACUUGUUUUUUCUUAUCUGAUUAUGUGAUAAUUUCCAUCAUUGAAA